AGAACGAACGCUGGCGGCAUGCCUAACACAUGCAAGUCGAACGCUUUUGGGGCUUCGGUCCCAAAGGAGUGGCGCACGGGUGAGUAGCGCGUGGGAACCUGCCCUGGAGUGGGGGAUAACCGAGGGAAACUUCGGCUAAUACCGCAUGCGCCCGGUUUUACCUCGAAAGGGGGAAACCGGGGAAAGAUUUAUCGCUCUAGGAGGGGCCCGCGUCGGAUUAGCUAGUUGGUGGGGUAACGCCUACCAAGGCUUUGAUCCGUAGCUGGUCUGAGAGGAUGAUCAGCCACACUGGGACUGAGACACGGCCCAGACUCCUACGGGAGGCAGCAGUGGGAAUAUUGGACAAUGGGCGCAAGCCUGAUCCAGCAAUGCCGCGUGAGUGAUGAAGGCCUUCGGGUUGUAAAGCUCUUUCGCACGCGAGGAUGAUGACGCUAGCGUGAGAAGAGCCCGGCUAACUUCGCGCCAGCAGCCGCGGUAA
rnacentral:rRNA from 1 species